AUUGAACGCUGGCGGCAUGCCUUACACAUGCAAGUCGAACGGUAACAGGUCUUCGGAUGCUGACGAGCGGCGAACGGGUGAGUAAUACAUCGGAACGUGCCCGAGAGUGGGGGAUAACGAGGCGGAAGCUUUGCUAAUACCGCAUACGAUCUCAGGAUGAAAGCAGGGGACCGCAAGGCCUUGCGCUCACGGAGCGGCCGAUGGCAGGUUAGGUAGUUGGUGGGAUAAAAGCUUACCAAGCCGACGAUCUGUAGCUGGUCUGAGAGGACGACCAGCCACACUGGGACUGAGACACGGCCCAGACUCCUACGGGAGGCAGCAGUGGGGAAUUUUGGACAAUGGGCGCAAGCCUGAUCCAGCCAUGCCGCGUGCAGGAUGAAGGCCUUCGGGUUGUAAACUGCUUUUGUACGGAACGAAAAGACUCUGGUUAAUACCUGGGGUCCAUGACGGUACCGUAAGAAUAAGCACCGGCUAACUACGUGCCAGCCGCCGCGGUAAUAC
rnacentral:rRNA from 1 species